GAUGAACGCUGACAGAAUGCUUAACACAUGCAGGUCAACUUGAAUUUGGGUUUUUAACUUAGAUUUGGGUGGCGAACGGGUGAGUAACGCGUAAAGAACUUGCCUCACAGCUAGGGACAACAUUUAGAAAUGAAUGCUAAUACCUGAUAUUAUGAUUUUAAGGCAUCUUAGAAUUAUGAAAGCUAUAAGCACUGUGAGAGAGCUUUGCGUCCCAUUAGCUAGUUGGAGAGGUAACAGCUCACCAAGGCGAUGAUGGGUAGCCGGCCUGAGAGGGUGAACGGCCACAAGGGGACUGAGACACGGCCCUUACUCCUACGGGAGGCAGCAGUGGGGAAUAUUGGACAAUGGACCGAGAGUCUGAUCCAGCAAUUCUGUGUGCACGAUGAAGUUUUUCGGAAUGUAAAGUGCUUUCAGUUGGGAAGAAAAAAAUGACGGUACCAACAGAAGAAGUGACGGCUAAAUACGUGCCAGCAGCCGCGGUAAUACGUAUGUCACGAGCGUUAUCCGGAUUUAUUGGGCGUAAAGCGCGUCUAGGUGGUUAUGUAAGUCUGAUGUGAAAAUGCAGGGCUCAACUCUGUAUUGCGUUGGAAACUGUAUAACUAGAGUACUGGAGAGGUAAGCGGAACUACAAGUGUAGAGGUGAAAUUCGUAGAUAUUUGUAGGAAUGCCGAUGGGGAAGCCAGCUUACUGGACAGAUACUGACGCUAAAGCGCGAAAGCGUGGGUAGCAAACAGG
rnacentral:rRNA from 1 species